GUCCACGCCGUAACGAUGCGCACUAGGUUUGCUAGUCUCUGACGGCUAGCGAGCCGAAACAAAGCGUUAAGUGCGCCGCCUGGGGAGUACGGCCGCAAGGCUAAACUCAAAGGAAUUGACGGGGCUCACACAAGCGGUGGAGGAUGUGGCUCAAUUCGAAGCAACGCGAAGAACCUUACCCGGGUUAGACAUGCCAGGAUUAGUUUUGUGAAAGCAAAAUGACGCGGCUUGCCGUGGAACUGGCUCAGGUGCUGCAUGGCUGUCGU
rnacentral:rRNA from 1 species